CCUACGGGAGGCAGCAGUGGGGAAUAUUGGACAAUGGGCGAAAGCCUGAUCCAGCCAUGCCGCGUGUGUGAAGAAGGUCUUCGGAUUGUAAAGCACUUUAAGUUGGGAGGAAGGGCAUUAACCUAAUACGUUAGUGUUUUGACGUUACCGACAGAAUAAGCACCGGCUAACUCUGUGCCAGCAGCCGCGGUAA
rnacentral:rRNA from 1 species